rnacentral:rRNA from 1 species
UGCCUUUAAGACGAGGAUAACAACCGGAAGGUUACUAAGACUGGAUAGGAAACAAAAAGGCAUCUUUUUGUUUUUAAAAGACCUUCUUACGAAGGUAUGCUUAAAGAGGGGCUUGCGCCACAUUAGUUAGUUGGUAGAGUAAAAGCCUACCAAGACGAUGAUGUGUAGCUGGACUGAGAGGUUGAACAGCCACAUUGGGACUGAGACACGGCCCAAACUCCUACGGGAGGCAGCAGUAGGGAAUUUUCGGCAAUGGAGGAAACUCUGACCGAGCAACGCCGCGUGAACGAUGAAGUAUUUCGGUAUGUAAAGUUCUUUUAUUGAAGAAGAAAAAGUACCGGCAAAAACUAUAUUGACGUUAUUCGAUGAAGCAGCCCCGGCUUACUAUGCGCCAGCCGCCGCGGUACGACAUAGGGGGCGAGCGUUAUCCGGAAUUGUUGGGCGUAAAGGCUGCGUAGGCUAUUAGAUAAGUCUAUAAUUUAGUUUCAGUGCUUAACGCUGUCUUGUUAUAGAAACUGUCUUGACUAGAGUGAGAUAGAGGCAAGCGGAAUUCCAUGUGUAGCGGUAAAAUGUGUAAAUAUAUGGAGGAACACCAGAAGCGUAGGCGGCUUGCUGGGUCUUUACUGACGCUGAGGCACGAAAGCGUGGGUAGCAAACAGGAUUAGAUACCCUGGUAGUCCACGCCGUAAACGAUGAGUACUAAGUGUCGGGGUAAAACUCGGUACUGAAGUUAACACAUUAAGUACUCCGCCUGAGUAGUACGUACGCAAGUAUGAAACUUAAAGGAAUUGACGGGACUCCGCCACAAGCGGUGGAUCAUGUUGUUUAAUUCGAAGAUACACGAAAAAUCUUACCAGGUCUUGACAUACUCUGCAAAGCUAUAGAAAUAUAGUGGAGGUUAUCAGGGAUACAGGUGGUGCAUGGUUGUCGUCAGUUCGUGUCGUGAGAUGUUAGGUUAAGUCCUAAAACGAACGCAACCCUUGUCGUUAAUUGCCAGCACAUAAUGGUGGGGACUUUAACGAGACUGCCAAUUAAACAUUGGAGGAAGGUGAGGAUUACGUCAAAUCAUCAUGCCCCUUAUGAUCUGGGCUACAAACGUGAUACAAUGGCUGUGACAAAGAGUAGCUGAAACGCGAGUUUUUAGCCAAUCUCAAAAAAGCAGUCUCAGUUCGGAUUGAAGUCUGUAACUCGACUUCAUGAAGUUGGAAUCGCUAGUAAUCGCGAAUCAGCAUGUCGCGGUGAAUACGUUCUCGGGGUUUGUACACACCGCCCGUCAAACCACGAAAGUUAGCAAUGCCCGAAAGCAGUAGCUUAACUUCGCAAGAAGAGGGAACUGUCUAAGGUAGGGUUGAUGAUUGGGGUUAAGUCGUAACAAGGUAUCCCUACCGGAAGGUGGGGAUGGAUCACCUCCUUUCUAAGGACUAUAU